UAUUGUAACCUUGUUGAAUCUUGCUGGUAUCUUUGAUUCAUAGGUUGUUGGGUCUUUCUGUGUGUAGAAAUGAAAGCACUUAUGUUAUCUUAUUUAAAGAAACAGGUAUUUCUUUUUUUCUUUUACUAACUUAGAUUCUUUUUUUUCUUGUAGUAGUUAAUUAUAUUUUUGGUUUCAUAUGAGAUUAUCAUAGACUGAACUAAGUGAGUAACUUUCAAAUGCUGCAAGUGUGCUUAAGCGACUAAAUAUUCCUCCAACUUGUCCAAUGCCUUCUCCAUCGAGUAUCAACAACGACAGUCAAACUAAGUGCAAGUUAUUAGAUUGGUAUGGCUCGGGAGAGAUUGUUGCUGAAGGAAAAUGGUCUUCUAAUGAUCCAACUGCUCUAGUUCAUCAUGUUCCUAUUGGUCCACAUGCGAUUAGAGUAUGGGUUGAUGUAGCAAAGAAACCGAAUGCAUAUUUGUGGAGGCCAACAUGAGAAAUGACAUGUAUUGAAGAAGCUUUGGGAAAUAUAGUUGCAUGGCCAUCUGAUAAAGUGAUCAUUAGUAUGUUGUCUAAUUCUAAUAUUUUUUGUCUACAUUUGUUAAAGAUUUUCUAUACUUGUUUAAUUAAUAUAUGUUUUAUACAUUUAUGUA